ensembl:lncRNA
CUCAGAGAUACUAAUAAAACAGCUACGUGUUGGUUCCCUAUUUAAAACAUACCUCCAUCCCUCUCGUCUCCACCAUGAAGAUGAAGCAAGUGAUGACCUGGGGGGGACCUGAAGCCCCUCUUUCCCUCCCUUCAGUGCAUACUCAUUUUCCCUCCACCCCCUGGCUGAUGCGAGUGGUCGGAUGACCCCAGCAGACCUUGCACAGCACUAGGGGCACUGAACUGGAGACCUGCCAGGCUAGACUGCACCCUGGAGCCGGACGAGGAGCAACUGACAGGCGCAGUGGCCGCUGGACGGGAGAGCGGCUUCAAGUGGCUUGAAAAGACCCCUUUGGCCUCAGUGUUCUCAUCUGGGAUCUACUUGUUCUGUUGCUAAAAGAGGAGUGUUAAGAUCUCCAGCUGGAAUUGGAAAUGACUUCUGUUCAGUUCUGUAUAUUGGAAUCCAUACCAAGCUGCUGUGCUGAGGAGUUGUCAUUUUACAGUUUACUUGCAAAGUUAGCUUCUUGUCAGGAGCACAGACCCUUGAUCGACCUGUCCGUAUGGACGUAAGUAUUCCUUUGCACAUUCUCUACACGAGUAACUUAAUACACUGUUGGGGAGAACUCCCUGUUGUAUCCGGG